AUUAUCCACAAGUGAGCAACAAAAGCAAAACGGUUAAGCCAUGGAACACAACCACGGAGACACAGAUGAGGUGCCAGAAAUAAGGCAAGACAAGAAGCAAGAGGGGCUAGACAUGGUGUCAUCAUGAGCUGCUGUCAAAGGAUAGUGUGUUGCUGUGGUUUCUGAAACAGAAUGCAUCCUUUCCUCUCUGUAAGGGGAAGAAACUUGACUCACCCUCAACGAUUGUGAUGUGCAACCAACCCAGCCACAUAUUCAUCUCUGGCCUGCUGUUGACCCUCCACCAAACGCUGCUCCCAAGAGCUCAGCAGGAAGACUCAGUGCCGAAUUACGCCGGUUUGUAAAUGUCAACUGGAAAUUAUUUCUUUUUAAACCACUAAGGGGGCA